UACGGAGGAUCCAAGCGUUAUCCGGAUUUACUGGGUGUAAAGGGAGCGUAGGUGGCAUGGUAAGCCAGAAGUGAAAACCCGGGGCUCAACCCCGCGGAUUGCUUUUGGAACUAUCAGGCUGGAGUGCUGGAGGGGUAAGCGGAAUUCCUAGUGUAGCGGUGAAAUGCGUAGAUAUUAGGAGGAACACCGGUGGCGAAGGCGGCUUACUGGACAGUAACUGACACUGAGGCUCGAAAGCGUGGGGAGCAAACAGG
rnacentral:rRNA from 1 species